rnacentral:tRNA from 1 species
GGCCGGUUAGCUCAGUCGGUUGGAGCGUGAUGCUGUUAACACCAAGGUUGCAGGUUCGAUCCCCGUUCGGUCC